rnacentral:ncRNA from 1 species
GGUCCGCGGGGAGAUCAAUAGGGAACCCGGUGCGAAUCCGGGACAGCCGCCACUACUGUGUGUGAGCAGAGGGGAAUGACAAGCCAUUGGAUACGGGACGUCUCACAAGACGCCCCGCCCGAGAAGGGUCCUUCCCCGCGGGAGACGGGCAAGCACCGCCUUCCUUCCUCACGAGCCAGGAGACCUGCCCGCC